rnacentral:rRNA from 1 species
UGAGGAAUAUUGGUCAAUGGGCGUGAGCCUGAACCAGCCAAGUAGCGUGCAGGAAGACGGCCCUAUGGGUUGUAAACUGCUUUUAUGCGGGGAUAAAGGAGUCCACGUGUGGAUUUUUGCAGGUACCGCAUGAAUAAGGACCGGCUAAUUCCGUGCCAGCAGCCGCGGUAAUACGGAAGGUCCGGGCGUUAUCCGGAUUUAUUGGGCGUAAAGCGAGCGCAGGCGGUUAGAAAAGUCUGAAGUGAAAGGCAGUGGCUCAACCAUUGUAGGCUUUGGAAACUGUUUAACUUGAGUGCAGAAGGGGAGAGUGGAAUUCCAUGUGUAGCGGUGAAAUGCGUAGAUAUAUGGAGGAACACCGGUGGCGAAAGCGGCUCUCUGGUCUGUAACUGACGCUGAGGCUCGAAAGCGUGGGGAGCGAACAGG